rfam:Calothrix sp. HK-06 NIES-2101_Scaffold_11, whole genome shotgun sequence.
CUUUCAACCCGCCUUAAGCUGAGAUGGACGUUGAAAC